rnacentral:lncRNA from 1 species
AUGCCGACGUCUCCUGUUAAAACGAGGAUUCCAGUGACCAGCUUCGGCCAUCUGGUGACAGAAGUGAAGAAGCAGCUUUUUGGCAUCCGGGCUCCGUCCCCUGAGGAGCUGACUGGUUGGAGGAAGCACUUUAACAGCUACACGUUGCAGGGCCGCCGAAAUUGUGUCUUGGCUACUUAUGGGAUGCUGGCAGUGAUGGGGGUAGCUUACCUGAUGCACAGACGGAACAAAACAGAAAAUCAGGCGUCUACUGCCAUGGACUGAAACAUGAUCUUCCUCCAGUAAAGAUUAUGCUCACGAUAAGAGGAAAAAAAAAAAAAAAAACAUUUUUACCUCAGAAUUUAAGGCUGUCCCUCAUUAAUAAAUGUCUUUGCCCAACUUGUUUUAUUCA